rnacentral:SRP_RNA from 1 species
GGCGGGUCUCCCCGCAUCGCAGGAUGGUGAACCUGGUCAGGUCCGGAAGGAAGCAGCCACAGCCGUCUCAUGUGAGUGCCGGGGGUAAGGCUCGCCACCUUUC